rnacentral:piRNA from 1 species
UGACUGUGUGGUGUGAGGAAUGCGGCUGU